rnacentral:lncRNA from 1 species
UUUCUGCUGGUUCUGAGCUCGUGUUUUUUUUUUUUUCUCUUUUGUUUUUUCUCCUUGCUUUUCUUUCUUCCUCCCUAUCCCCUCUCUUCCCCUUUGUUUCAAGCUCAUUAUCAGUGUAGCAUAUGCCAAUUUCAACUCCAUCAACCUGGCUCCCUGUGAUGAUAUUGUCACCAACUGCAGUUGCCCCACUAACUAUGCUUAAGACUGCAAGAACAUCAACUCAGAACUGCAGGCACCAUAUUCUUCUACUCCUGAGAAGACUGGAGAUUUCUACCACCAUUUUAUGCCAUAAGUUUUACCCAGUGAGUUAAGUGAAAAAACUGUUAGGUUGAUCUCACUGAUCUCAUGUUUAGAUUCCAAUCAAAAGACAAUGAAGAUUGGAUCACAGUAACUCUUGAGCAGAAGAUAAAUUCUGUGACCCACACACUCCAUGGCUCUUUGUUCAGAAUGAUUUUCCUGUAGAACUUCAGAGGAGCCCCACAUUCCUUCUUGCGAACUGAAUCUUAGCAGAUCGCCAGAUCACCCUUUUGAUGAAUGCUGUGCUGACACCUGUGAUUGUGUGUCUGUCAACUUGGUUCCCUAACUAGCGCAGACAUUUUCUUCUGCUUGUCUUGGAAGUACAAAAUUUCAGAUCUGUAUAAGCAAAUGUGAAUGUUAUUAGACCAAUAGAUAUCCAGGUGAUGGAAAAUCCCAAAUAAAUAUCUGAACUGAGAAUGAUUGUGGGCAGGGGGGAAAGGUGACUUAGGGUUUUUCUGCCAUUAGCUUUAUGUUCUAGUACAGAUUAGCAAAUUGACACAAACAGACUAAGUG